UUGGCUAGUCUCAAUAAUCAAUCACCUAUAUCUCCUGAUGAAUUAAAUACAAAAAUGCUUUUAGAUGUAAAGUUUUUAUAAGGAUAUAAAGGAUUAGAUAUAAAGAAUGUUUAAGAACAUUAAGAAAUAAUUUAUAUGUAGUGCAAGCCAUUGGAAUAGAAAAAUAUAAAAAUAUCUAGAUAUGUUAUAAAUGAUACCUGAGUCUCAGUAAAUGACCUAUAGAUACUGAGAAUGUAAGCCUAAGUUAGAUCUAUGGAUAACGUUUUUAUUGAGGUCUGAAAUAGAUAUAUAGGCUUUAAGAAUGAACUUAUGUAUACCUUAAUAUAAGAGUCUACAGACCUCCCCAGAAGGGACACUGGGGCUAAUAAUAGGUCGUAGCUCCCCUGCUGUACAAAAUAUUAAGGUCCUCCCUGGAGGGUUUGAUUCCUGACCUUACUGAAGAAAUUAAGAUCAUUGUACAACUCUCUACUAAAACAAUUCAGAUUCACGCAGGGCAGUGCCUGAGGGAGCUGAUGGUGUGGAUUCUAGUGAUAUGGCUUUCUGCGUUUAGGAAAUUAAAUAUUCCAAACCAACUAAACACUUAAAAUACAGAGAAAGAAAAUAAUUGGCUUGCUAGACAUAAGCACGGAUGUUUCUUAUAUUUCAAGAAAAGAUUGGUCAAGUAUUUAAGACGAUUAUUACUCUUUCAUCUCUUAUAGGCCUAAGUCAACCUAGCAGUAUUGCUAGCAGCUCAAAAAUAUUAAGAUGGUCAGAUAGAUAAAAUUAUGGCAUAUUCUGCCCAUACGUCAUCCUCCAUACCUAACAACACUAUGGGAAAGAGACAUACUGUAACAAAUGGAUGUACCAUUAAUCUCUGCUGUGACUAAUAUCAGCUCAAAUGCUACAGAUGGGUUUUAAACUUAAAGGAACUUGAGUAAACAAGCUCAAGGCAUAAUUGAGCCCAUUAUUCCAGAACUUAUAAAUGACAGACAUGGCCGAGGUUAUCAGGAUUUGUCCUAGGGGCCACUAUCGCCCUCACUGCUGGGCACAUGUCAGGAAACUCCAUUGUUCCUUUCUGGAUCAAACAAUGGCCUUUGAAUACUGAGAGACUUGUAACUGCGACCUGUCUGGUGGAGGAGAAACUUAAAAAUAGGGCAUAUAAAGCCUCCCACCAGUCCUUCAGUCACCCCAAUAUUUGCUGUUUAAAGAAAAUCAGGCUUAUAAACCGUUACAGGAUCUUAAGAAAUUAAAUAAAAUUCAUUAAAGCCAAGGGGAUUCUCACAGCCUGGCUUGCCAUCUCCCAUUACCAUCCCUAGGAAUCAAAAUAACAAUGGUUAUAAAUUUACAAGAUCGCUUCUUUGCCAUACUUCCUCAACCUAAAGAUUGUCAGCAUUUCCCUUUUAGCUUGCCUACUCACCCUGCCAUGAUGGAGGCCAAAGCUGACAUACAGAGCAGGAAAUGCAAAUUCUGUUUAUCCAGGACUCAUUUAUUGAGCAGAGUUCCUCAUUUUAUAUAUACAGAUUAACUAUCAGAACCAACUGUCAAUUAUAGCUUCCUCACAGUCCCCCAAACUAAUAAUAAUAUAUAUGUAGUAUAUAUGUGUAUAUACAUAUAUAUUACAAUACAUUUAUUGCACAGAUGAUAUUAUAUUUAUAUCAAACUAUGAAACUUAUGAGUCUAUAGAUUGGCAGCUGGCUCUACAGGAUAUACUGGCACCUUUUCAUAUGUCUGUCCAACAAUUAUAAAUUCUCUCCCUAUGGAAGCUCACCCAUGAGGCUUAUGUCCUUAUGAUUUAUGGUUAUGAAAUAAGAAGUAAUACAUCAUUUAUUUCACUGCUUUUCAAUUUUAGGAAUUCCUAGAGCUCAUUUAUAGACAACAGCCUUACAUAUACUUCAAGAGCUCUUAGAAUCGGUGCUUAAUUUUUCACAUCUCCCACUACAGGCAUUCCUUAUUACCCCCAGGCCAAGACAUAAAGUUACACUUAAGCCUCUACGCUCUUCUCACUGGUAUCUGAAAAGGUCCUGAUGUUUUCAUACUGUCAGGAAGAGGAUAUGCUUACAUGUCUUCACAGGAUAUUGACCCGUCUUCAUGAAUUCUGGAUCACCUGUUCAUACUAUACACUAGGCCGCUGCAGGACAAAGGCACUCUAAAGCUGCCAGUCUGAAUACAGGCUGUUAUUUACCUCUAGAUUCUUAAAUAUUGAGCUUUGAAUAUGAAUAAAUAGAUACAAUUCCAGAUCCUUUUGAUGAACUGUUCAUCAAUGGUAUAAAACUUAGAGAAAUAUGAUUAGAAAUAAUUCUGUUCUAAAUGUAUUUUAUUAAUUUUUGUCAAAAGAUAAAUGAGACUUAAGAUUAAUUAUCAGCUGGUUGUAGAUUCUUCCCGGACCCUGGGAGGGUACUAUCGAGGGGCUGGACCACCAUAGUCCCGGAUACUUUGGUCUGUUGUGGGCUCUCUUACUGAGGUGAGUAGAUGAGUGAGUGUGUUGUGUCUCUUGUGUUUCCCCAGGAAAUGUCUGUCACAUAAUGCCAUUGCUAUUGUUCCAUGUAGGGUCAGAGGCAUGGACUCUGAGCAGAACCAAUGUAGAGCCUAUUCCCAGUCAUGAACUGACUUUAGGCAAGCAUUGGCAAAUUGGUCAAGACUGGUUAGGACAUAAAGCUCUUAGGAGUUCCCCUGGUUUGGCUUGAGUUGGGCCUUCUUGAGUUGACUAGAGACAGGCUUUGUACUGAGGUGGCAUGUACCAGGAAUCUUAUGUAUAGUGCUGUGAGUUAUUAAAGGGAUUGGUGAAAAUAUAUGUACAUAUCAAUUGCUAGAAUCCUGUGAUAAGUAGCUGACGGUCUCUCAAACUUACAAACACCUUUUUUUUUUAAAUUUCUAAUUAAUUUAGCCUUUUUGAACUGAGAGGUAAGCAUGUAAGCUUAGUGGGUGAGCACUUGCCUACAUGUUGAAGUCCUGGAUUUGUUCCCUUGCUCUGGGAUGGUCUGUAUGUCAAAUGCUCUGAUUGGUCAAUAAAUAAAACAUUGAUUGGCCAGUGGCCAGGCAGGAAGUAUAGGCGGGACUAACAGGGAGGAGAACUGAGAGAACAGGAAGGUGGGAGGAGACACUGCCAGCUGCCACCAUGACAAGCAGCAUGUGAAGAUGCCGGUAAGCCACGAGCCACGUGGCAAGGUAUAGAUUUAUAGAAAUGGAUUAAUUUAAGAUGUAAGAACAGUUAGCAGAAGCCUGCCACGGCCAUACAGUUUGUAAGCAAUAUAAGUCUCUGUGUUUACUUGGUUGGGUCUGAGCGGCUGUGGGACUGGCGGGUGAGAGAGAUUUGUCCUGACUGUGGGCCGGGCAGGAAAAGUCUAGCUACAUUCCCUAGUAUAAAUAAGUAAAGAUAAAUUUAAAAUUCCAGGAAAGGUAUCAAUCUAUUACUCAAAAAAUCCACAUGUAGGUUGGGUGUGGUGAUGCAUCCCUUUAACUCCAACACUCAGGAGGCAGAGAGAGGCAGGUGAUCUCUGUGAGUUCCAGGCCAGUCUUAGUCACCUAACCAAGUUCCAUGACAGCCAGGGCUACAAAGAGAGAUACCCUGUUUCAAAAAGCCACAAAGGAAUUCACAUUUAUCACACACACACACUUUUUAUUGUUGGUUCUUUUUUGAAGCAGGGUUUCAUACAGUCACAGCUGACCUGGACCUUGCUCCACAGCAGACCUCAUGGGUUUAAUGCCUCAGUGUUAGGAAGACAAGGUGACAAAGUCACCAUUUUUGAGACAGGAAAUAUUGCCAAUAAUAGAAAGAGGUUGUAUGAACUGCUGGAACCCAUCUAGUGAUCUCUUACAUGCUAGACAAUAGGUCAUCUCUAGAGUUGUGCCUUUAGGUGAAGGCCUGUAACCCCAGGUAACUGAGAGGCUAAGCAAUGAGGAUGGCAAGUUCAAAGGCUGCCAAAGCUACAGAAGGAAUUCAAGAAUAAUUGGAUACUGGCAAAAAACCGACAUACAGACCAAUGGAAUCAAAUUGGAGACCCUGACAUUAAUCCACGCACAUAUGAACACCUGAUUUUUGACAAGGAAGCCAAAACUAUACAAUGGAAAAAAGAAAGUAUCUUCAACAAACGGUGCUGGCAUAACUGGAUGUCAACAUGUAAAAGAUUACAAAGAGAUCCAUAUCUGUCACCAUGCACAAAACUCAAGUCCAAGUGGAUCAAAGACUUCAACAUACAUCCAGUUACACUGAACUUGAUAGAAGAGAAAGUAGGAAAUACUCUUGAAUGCAUUGGCACAGGAGGCUACUUCCUAAAUAUAACACCAGUAGCACAGACACUGAGAACAACAAUUAAUAAAUGAGACCUUUUGAAACUGAGAAGCUUUUGUAGGGCAAAAGACACUGUCAAUAAGACAAAAAGACAGUCUACAGAAUGGGAAAAGACCUUCACCAACACCACAUCUGACAGAGGGCUGAUCUCCAAAGUAUAUAAAGAACUCAAGAAACUAGACAUCAAAAUACUGAAAAUCCAAUUAAAAAAUGGGCUACAGAGCUAAACAGAAUUCUCAAAAGAAGAAUCUCAAAUGGCUGAAAGACAUUUAAAGAAAUGCUCAACAUCCUUAGUCAUCAGAGAAAUGCAAAUCAAAACGACUCUGAGAUACCACCUUACUCCUGUCAGAAUGGCUAUGAUCAAAAACACGAAUGACAUUCUAUGUUGGAGAGGAUGCAGAGCAAGGGGAACGCUCCUCCACUGUUGGUGGGAGUGCAAACUUGUACAACCACUGUGGAAAUCAGUAUGGCGGUUUCUCAGAAAACUGGGAAUCGAUCUACCUCAAGACCCAGCUAUAGCACUCUUGGGCACAUACCCAAGGAAUGCUGAUUCAUACCACAAAGAUACAUGCUCAACUAUGUUCACAAAAGCAUUAUUCGUAAUAGCCAGAUCCUGGAAACCACCUAGACGCCUGUCAACUGAAGAAUGGAUUAAGAAAAUGUGGUACAUAUACACAAUGGAGUUCUACUCAGCAGAGAAAAACAAUGACAGCAUGAAAUUAAAUUUGCAGGCAAAUGGAUGGAACUAGAAAAUAUCAUCCUGAGUGAGGUAACCCAGACCCAGAAGGACAAGCAUGGUAUGGACUCACUCAUAAGUGGAUUCUAGAUAGAAAGCAAAGAACAAUCAGACUGCAACCCACAGAACCAGGGAAGCUACAUAGCAGGGGGGACCCUAGGAUGACAGUGGUGUAAGGAACACAUGUAAGGCCUAGGGUGAACAACCCUGGUCAGGAAUGAUAAGCAAUAGAAUGAUGUAAGUAAACCACAAAUGGAGUAGUGAUAAGCUAUAAGCUAUGUGUGGAAGUAGGGAUAAGACUAGAAACCUAGCCAGGAAAGAAUAUAAAAGAUGAAGCCUCAGACCCGACCAACAGAGCUCGUCAGGCCCUCGCGCGAGACGACUCUCCUCUGCCAGAGACGUGAGAUCCUGUCCCCAGUGCAGACGUGGCUGACCUGAGGAAGGCUGACCCAAGAUCCAGAGGAACAGACGUGGCGAGUCCGGACCUGUAUACCCGGAGAGGAACCGGAAGAAUAACAAAUUAUCCCCAGCAGAAAUAAUAGCACCAGGAACAGGAAACAACGUGUGGAUAACUCAAGAUGUCUUACAGGAAUCAAGUAACAGGAAACCCACUUUGGAAUCCGUCAGGCAGACGCUUCGAUUUACUUAGUAAAAAUGGAAUGAGUAAUUUACUAUAUACCACAUACCAAAAAUAUAUGGAACCAUUGUCUGAUAUUUUCUAUAGAAUAGGUAUAUUAUCUAUGGCAGGAACGAUACAGGGAUGCAAAUACUGCACCCAUAAAUAUGCAAUGUUCUACCUAUCAGAACCAGGUGAGGUAGACAACCUCCCAAUGCUCUUGAUGCACUUAACAUUCCACUUGACAAUAGAAGGAGGUAUACAUGAUAUGAGAUUAAUUGGAGAUGGAUACAUGAGAUAUUAUGGAACCAUACAAUCUAGUGUAUAUAAAGUGAAUGGAAUGUACAAAAUACACAGAAAUAACAUGGAUGCAGCCCUACAUAUAAGCGCAGCUUUAGCUGCAGCAUAUGUGGGCCGCGGUAAUCACAGAAUAUAUGAAACAUAUAGAACAUGGCUAAAACAUAAUCCUGAUGAAGCAAUAAUAAGCAUUGAUAAAGAUUUCCUGAAUGACCCACAGUGGGAAACAGGAGAACCAAUGUAUUUACAAAGCAUAUGUACUAGAAUAUUGUGUAGAGAUUUUGUUAUAGAUGUGUUAAAAGAAUUUGCAGCUUAUAGCACUUGGUUGAAGUUAUAUAAUGCAUAUAUAGAGAAAAAACAUAAAAAUAAACCACCCAGAAUGAGAAGGAUAAGAAUGCUAGGAUUAACAAAUUAGGAUAACAUAUUGUAAAUCUCCAGGCUGCGACCUCAUGUGAUGCCUUUUAUGUUGAAGACAUUUCAGGCAUCAGGGGAUGGAAUGUAAGGAACACAUGUAAGGCUUAGGGUGAACAACCCUGGUCAGGAAUGAUAAGCAAUAGAAUGAUGUAAGUAAACCACAAAUGGAGUAGUGAUAAGCUAUAAGCUAUGUGUGGAAGUAGGGAUAAGACUAGAAACCUAGCCAGGAAAGAAUAUAAAAGAUGAGGCCUCAGACCCGACCAACAGAGCUCGUCAGGCCCUCGCGCGAGACGACUCUCCUCUGCCAGAGACGUGAGAUCCUGUCCCCAGUGCAGACGUGGCUGACCUGAGGAAGGCUGACCCAAGAUCCAGAGGAACAGACGUGGCGAGUCCGGACCUGUAUACCCGGAGAGGUACUCCUGCUUCCAUUUGGAAGACAGGAUGAAUAUUGCUUGUAAUCUUACUGUGUGAAUAAAUGAGUGUUAUACCAAGUCUGAA